CAGUAUGCUCUAACGCAUGCUUCAAUCACCGACGCGUGCAGAGCUAGCCGUGCACUGGCGUCCAUGCAAGUGGCCAUGCACUGGAGCUUUCACACGCGGAUGUGUUAAAGCCAACCACCCCACCCGUCUAGCUGCGCACAUAUUUAAUGCAGUACACCCCCCACAACGCUGUAGAUGAAACAAGCUCCAUUGCAAACCACAUCGAAGGUUUCCCGAUCUCUCCCGGCGACGCCGCAGGCAGGCUCUGGCGCACAGCAAGGCUUUGAAUCAAAUCGAUGGGCGGAGAAGUUCAUCAAGAACGGGGCCCAGCAAGACACAGGCUUUGAAUCAACUCCGGUCAUCAUGAACAGAAAGAGAAUGCAGCACGGAGAACCAGCAAUCCAGACGGGAUCAUCAAGCAGGUCCGGCACAUCACACACAUCUUUUUUUUUGCAAGGUAAUACGUGUCUUAUUGACGUGGGCAUAGCCCAGUGGUUGGGGGCGCAUGAUUGUAAACCUAACGACCAGAGUUCGAUCCACGUCGGGGACGAAUUUCUGGAAUUCUCAUGAGGGAUGCUUCUUCUAUAUCAAUAAAACCGUGGGUGCUAGUGCCCAUGGAGUUUCAUUUUUUUUUCCAUAAAGAACAAAGUACAAGUCACGUAAAGACCGACAUGACAAAACUGAAAAGAUAGCAGAACAUCUUUGAGCUUGACACCAACGCACGUCACCUGCCUCCGGCACCACCACAGUAGCCACCGAAAAAAAAAUGACGAAUCACCUUCUCACCCGAGCUCGACGCGGCUCCAUCGCUGAUAUGCAGCUUUGCGGACCUCCAAGGUGGCUCACCAAAAGUGAAGCCCUUACCGUUGAACGAAUCAGACCAGGGCAACACUCCGGACACGCCAUCCAACUCCAGAUCUAGCAUCCCACCACGACUAAAACGCCGAAGGAGGAAACCAUAUCUGCCAUCCACGAACCACGAGCCCAGCACAUGCUCCGUCUUCCAGAUGUCGUCGAUGUAGACCACAAUCUGCAUCUGCUCCUGGACUACCUCCCAAGCUUCGCGCCGACGCUGGAGCAAACGCCGUCGUAACGGUGGAGCUCGAGGACACAGGUCCACCACGAGGAUGCCGCCACCGCCACACCAUCCUUGCUUGAACAGACUGGUUUCCAAAUCCAUCCCCAACAAUAGAACCGAUGGCCUCGUUAGGAAAGAAUCCGAAAAAUCUUUAUUCAGCGUUGUCAUCGUCACCGCCGAAGCAAAGACGAUGAACAACCUAAAAACCUAGACUACGAGAGAGUAAAAACGAUCCACACGCGUGGAUCCGGCAACCCCACCUCACCACCGACGACCGAGGGCGCCGGCGGAGGGGAGCCGCCGGAGAGCGGCGUUGGAAGACCGGCCUCCCCUGGCGGCGGCUAGGGUUCCAGCCGCCAGGGACGAGAGGAAAACUCAGCGUUGGCGUUUAGAUCCAACACAUCACACACAUCUAGAAAACCAAAUUGGGCCCACGUGGUAAAAACAGUACGGUAUUGCAUGCCUGGUGCUUAAGUCAUACACGUACCGCACGGAACGAGCCCUACAUAGGCAGCGCGGCCACAGUAUUCCUUUGUAUAUGACGAUGUAUGCUUCCCUUUGUCAUUCCCCGAUUAUUAAUGCGCACAUCAUCUCGACGCAGCCUGCGGCCAGAUAUCUGCGCGCAGGAGCAAUGCUACACUUACGUAAAGGAGCUACUUAAGUUUACGUAUCAGCCAACGUGGAACAAUAGGAUUGGUGUUUAGGGGAGUGAGGGGCCCACCCCCUAAAAAUCAGGGGGGUGUUUAGAUUAGUUUGGAAAGUUUCGUAACCUUACGUAUAGUCUUUCGUAGGUUUAGCAUUUUCGCUACGCGCAGAUGCCGCUGCGUCCAGAACGUCCACACUCAUCUACGGAGGUGCCUUUUAACUUGCUCAUUCCUGUCGCCGCCGCCGCCCCUCUCCCCGUCUCUGCCCACGAGGUGCCUACCGACGCGGACGGCGAUGACGACGACGACGAGGUGACGUUCUCGUGCGGUGUAGCUCUGACGUGCGACGGCAAGGUGCAGAUCUCUCGAUAGGUGGUAACAUGGAGAAGAUGGGAGGUGCUCCCGGCCAGAUCUGAGGGCGCCCGUGACAUCUGUUGCAUAUCUCGCAUGAGGAGUCGGUGGAGAAUUGAUGGCAUCGCCGCCGGCUGCAGCAAUCCACCAUUAUCUGCAGCUGCCAUCUCUCGGUGAGGUAGUCAUCAUCCAGAUUCAGGUUGUACUGUUGCUAAUUAGGCAUGGUUCUUUUCUAAUCUUCAAUUCCCAUAUCAGUUAGACGUAGUUGAUUUCUAUCUAUGGAUCCUUUGCCUUUUGUACUAGCAAAUAAAACCAAUUGAUUGAUUGUUUUCAUGGAACACAGGUUUCUAGUAAUUCUCUAUGUUUUUUCUCUGCGUAAAGUAACACAUACUGAACUCAAUUGAUUGAUUGUGGAACUCAAUUUUUUUGUGGAGGACAGAGUUCUCCUGAUUUCUCUGUUGCAAUUUUUCCAAGGCUGACAGAAAGGAAACUAUACUGAUUCUCCAUGCAAGUAGUGAUUUCUUCUUUGUUUAUGCUUCUUUGGUUCAUUAAGUUCAUUGGAGUGUGGCACAUGUGCUUAUCCAUUCAUGAACCUUGAUCUUUCAUGUGCCCAGAUUUUGAAACAGUUCUUUGUGUGAAAUUAAGCAUUCUUUUUUGCGAGAAUUGUUGUUGAAAAUAAUGUACCCUAAAAAAUUAAAUGAAAAAAUGCACACUAAAAAUCAACAUUUGAUUAUUUCUUGCCACAAGAGAUCAUUGGGUUAUUUGUUCAAUGAUUUAUGUUAUAAUGAACCAAAACUUUUUGGCCAAUCUGAUGUAGUUCUCAACGGAAAGGAUUUUUUUUUUGUUAAUUUGGCUAAAGACUGCUUCAGGUAAAUGUCCGGUUCGACUAUUUCUGGCCAAAAGCUAAAUAUUGUUAAUUGUGCUGGUAGUUGUGUUUAAUCGAUUCAGACUUGUCUGGAUUGUGCAUAUAAUGGGGGUGAGAGAUUUUGAAUGUAGUGGGAAUAGAGCAUGGUAAAGAUUUGUGCUGAACAAAUGUAAGUUUGAGAGACAACCAAUCAGUAAUAGCAAAUUCUUAUUAGUAGUUUAACUUGUGGAUAAACUUAUGUUGACCUGUGGAAAGAACCACUUCACCAAUGGAGAAGUGAAGACAUGGCCGUCGGUUGCAGCGAUCCACCACUACCUGCAGCUCUCGUCUCUCGGCGAGGUGGUCUUCGUUCAAAUCCAGGCUGUACUGUUGCUAAUUUGGCCUGGUUCUUUUCCAAUCUUGAAUCCCCAUAUCAGUCAUAUGUUGUUGGUUUCUAUUCAUGAGUUCUUUUGCCUUUUGUACUAUCAAAUAGAACAAUUGAUUGAUGGUUUUCAUU